rnacentral:rRNA from 1 species
GGCUGUUGCAUAUCAAUAAGCGGAGGAAAAGAAACUACCAAGGAUUCCCCUAGUAGCGGCGAGCGAAGCGGGGAAGAGCUCAAAUUUAUAAUCUGGCCCCUUCGGUGUCCGAGUUGUAAUCUCUAGAAAUGUUUUCCGCGUUGGACCGCACACAAGUCUGUUGGAAUACAGCGGCAUAGUGGUGAGACCCCCGUAUAUGGUGCGGACGCCCAGCGCUUUGUGAUACAUUUUCGAAGAGUCGAGUUGUUUGGGAAUGCAGCUCAAAUUGGGUGGUAAAUUCCAUCUAAAGCUAAAUAUUGGCGAGAGACCGAUAGCGAACAAGUACCGUGAGGGAAAGAUGAAAAGCACUUUGGAAAGAGAGUUAACAGUACGUGAAAUUGUUGGAAGGGAAACGCUUGAAGUCAGACUUGCUUGCCGAGCAAUCGGUUUGCAGGCCAGCAUCAGUUUUCCGGGAUGGAUAAUGGUAGAGAGAAGGUAGCAGUUUCGGCUGUGUUAUAGCUCUCUGCUGGAUACAUCUUGGGGGACUGAGGAACGCAGUGUGCCUUUGGCGGGGGUUUCGACCUCUUCACACUUAGGAA